rnacentral:rRNA from 1 species
UACGUAGGGUGCGAGCGUUAAUCGGAAUUACUGGGCGUAAAGCGUGCGCAGGCGGCGCGUUAAGACAGGUGUGAAAGCCCCGAGCUUAACCUGGGAAUUGCGCUUGUGACUGGCGUGCUGGAGUGUGGCAGAGGGAGGUGGAAUUCCACGUGUAGCAGUGAAAUGCGUAGAGAUGUGGAGGAAUACCGAUGGCGAAGGCAGCCCCCUGGGAUGAUACUGACGCUCAUGCACGAAAGCGUGGGGAGCAAACAGG